rnacentral:rRNA from 1 species
GAUGAACGCUAGCUACAGGCUUAACACAUGCAAGUCGAGGGGUAGCAGGGUAGCAAUACCGCUGACGACCGGCGCACGGGUGAGUAACACGUAUCCAACCUUCCCAUAACUCGGGGAUAGCCUUUCGAAAGAAAGAUUAAUACCGGAUGGUACUUUUUCAAGGCAUCUUGAGAAAGUUAAAGAUUUAUUGGUUAUGGAUGGGGAUGCGUUCCAUUAGAUAGUUGGUGAGGUAACGGCUCACCAAGUCUUCGAUGGAUAGGGGUUCUGAGAGGAAGGUCCCCCACAUUGGUACUGAGACACGGACCAAACCCCUACGGGAGGCAGCAGUGAGGAAUAUUGGUCAAUGGGCGAGAGCCUGAACCAGCCAAGUAGCGUGAAGGAUGAAGGUCCUAUGGAUUGUAAACUUCUUUUAUAGUAGAAUAAAGUGAUCCACGUGUGGAUUUUUGUAUGUAUACUAUGAAUAAGGAUCGGCUAACUCCGUGCCAGCCAGCCGCAGUAA